UACGGAGGAUGCGAGCGUUAUCCGGAUUUAUUGGGUUUAAAGGGUGCGCAGGCGGAUUUUUAAGUCAGCGGUCAAAUCGUGGGGCUCAACCCCAUCCAGCCGUUGAAACUGGGGAUCUAGAGUGUGCGAGAGGUAUGCGGAAUGCGCGGUGUAGCGGUGAAAUGCUUAGAUAUCGCGCAGAACACCGAUUGCGAAGGCAUCUGACGAAUCGGAGAUUGACGCUGAUGCACGAAAGCAUGGGUAUCGAACAGG
rnacentral:rRNA from 1 species